UGGCACCCCCGCGUGAUGGCUAAUACACCAGAUCCCAUCAGAACUC
rnacentral:rRNA from 1 species